UGCUGGAAUGAAUGGUUGGACGAGGUAUUAGCUGUUUCAAUUUUAUUUUUUGUAGAAUUUUAUUUUUUAGUAAAAAAGCUAAAAUUUAUUUAAAAGACGAGAAGACCCUAUAAAUCUUUAUAAUUUAUUUAUUUUUAUUAUAAAGAUGUUUUUUGUAUUUAUAUUGUAAAUUAUUUUAUUGGGGUGAUAUUAAAAUUAGUGAAACUUUUGAUUGUUUAUAACACUUAUUAGUGAGAUUUUGAUCCGUUUCUAGCGAUUAUAAGAUUAAGUUACUUUAGGGAUAACAGCGUAAUUUUUUUGGAGAGUUCAUAUCGAUAAAAAAGAUUGCGACCUCGAUGUUGGAUUAAGAUAUAAAUCUAGGUGCAGCUAUUUAGAUUUUAAGUCUGUUCGACUUUUAAAUUCUUACAUGAUCUGAGUUCAGACCGGCGUGAGCCAGGUUGGUUUCUAUCUUUAAGCAUAUAAAAUAUUUUAGUACGAAAGGAUUGAAUAUUUAAAUAAUGGUAUUUUAUUUGUUGAAUAUUAUUAAUUUAACUAUUUU
rnacentral:rRNA from 1 species